rnacentral:lncRNA from 1 species
CAGGCCCUCGUAUUCCAGGUUCUAAACCGACCAGGUGUCCUCUGGGUCCCACGGCGAAAAAUCAUUGUGCCUCGAUAACCAGUGUCCUCUGCAUCAUACAGCAAUCAGGAAACAGGGUCCCUCGGCGAACAAGCGUCCUCUGGUGAAUAGGAUUUUCUAGGGUCCUCCAGCAACCAGGCCCUCGUAUUCCAGGUUCUAAACCGACCAGGUGUCCUAUGGGUCCCACGGUGAAAAAUCUUUGUGUCUCGACAACCAGUGUACUCUGCGUCAUACAGCAAUCAGGAAACAGGGUCCCUCGGCGAACAAGCAUCCUUGGGUUCCUCUGGUGCAAAGGCUUUUCCCGGGUCCUCCAGCAACCAGGCCCUCGUAUUCCAGGUUCUAAACCAACCAGGUGUCCUUUGGGUCCCACGACGAAAAAUCAUUGUGCCUCGACAACCAGUGUACUCUGUGUCAUACAGCAAUCAGGAAACAGGGUCCCUCGGCGAACAAGCAUCCUUGUGUUCCUCUGGUGCAAAGACUUUUCCCGGGUCCUCCAGCAACCAGGCCCUCGUAUUCCAGGUUCUAAACCGACCAGGUGUCCUUUGGGUCCCACGGCGAAAAAUCAUUGUGCCUCGACAACCAGUGCCCUCUGCAUCAUACAGCAAUCAGGAAAUAGCAUCCCUCGGCGAACAAGCAUCCUCAAGUUCCUCUGGCGAAUAGGCUUUUCUAGGGUCCUCCAGCAACCAGGCCCUCGUAUUCCAGGUUCUAAACCGACCAGGUGUCCUCUGGGUCCCACGGCGAAAAAUCUUUGUGUCUCGACAACCAGUGUACUCUGCAUCAUACAGCAAUCAGGAAACAGGGUACCUCGGCAAACAAGCGUCCUCUGUUGAACAGGAUUUUCUUGGGUCCUCCAGCAACCUACCUACAGCAAUCAGGAAAUAGCAUCCCUCGGCGAACAAGCAUCCUCAAGUUCCUCUGGCGAAUAGGCUUUUCUAGGGUCCUCCAGCAACCAGGCCCUCGUAUUCCAGGUUCUAAACCGACCAGGUGUCCUCUGGGUCCCACGACGAAAAAUCUUUCUGCCUCGACAACUAGUGUCCUCUGCAUCAUAUAGCAAUCAGGAAACAUGUCCCUCGGCGAACAAGCGUCCUUAGGUUCCUCUGGUGAAUAGGCUUUUCCCGGGUCCUCCAGCAACCAGGCCCUCGUAUUCCAGAUUCUAAACCAACCAAGUGUCCUCUGGGUCCCAUGGGAAAAAUCAUUGUACCUCAACAACCAGUGUACUUUGCAUCAUACAGCAAUCAGGAAAAAGGGUUCCUCGGCGAACAAGCGUCCUUGGGUUCCCCUGGGAAAUAGUUAUUUUCCGGGUACUCCAGCGACCAGGGCCCUCGUAUUCCAGGUUCUAAACCAACCAGGUGUCCUCUGGGUCCCACGUUGAAAAAUCAUUGUGCCUCGACAACCAGUGUCCGCUGCAUGAUACCGCAAUCAGGAAAUAGGGUUCCUUGGCAAACAAGUGUCCUCAGAUACCCCGGGGGAAUAGAUUUUUCUUGGGUCGUCCGGCGACCAGGGCCCUCAUAUUCCAGGUUCUAAACUAAUAAGAUGUCCUUUGGGUCCCAUAGCAAAAAUCAUUGUGCCUGAACAACCAAUGUACUCUGCAUUAUACAGCAAUCAGGAAAUAGGGUUCCUCAGCGAACAAGUGUUCUCGGAUACCCCUGGGGAAUAGAUUUUUCCCGGGUACUCCAGUGACCAGGGCCUUCAUAUUCCAGGUUCUAAACUGACAAGAUGUCCUUUGGGUCCCACAGCAAAAAUUCAUUGUGCACAGACAACCAGUGUACUCUGAUUCAUACAGCAAUCAGGAAAUAGGGUUCCUCGGCGAACAAGCGUCCUAGGGUUCCCCUUGGAAAUGGUUAUUUGCAGGUACUCUGGUGACCAGGGCACUCGUAUUCCAGGUUCUAAACCGACCAGUUGUCCUCUGAGUCCCAUGGCGAAAAAUCAUUGUGCCUCGACAACCAGUGUCUUCUGCAUCAUACAGCAAUCAGGAAAUAAGGUCCCUCGGCUAAGAAGCGUCCUCAUGUUGCCGUGGUGAAUAGGUAUUUUCCAGGUCCUUUGGUGACCAGGGCCCUCAUAUUCCAGGUUCGUAACUGACAAAAUGUCCUUUGGGUCCCACGGCAAAAAAUCAUUGUGCCUUAACAACCAGUGUCCUCUGAAUCAUACUGGAAUCAGGACACUGGGCCCCUAGGCAAACAAGCGUCCUCGGGUUCCUCUGACAAUUAAUUUUUUUCCGCGUCCUUCGGCAACCAGGGCCCUCGUAUUCCAGGUUCUAAACUGACAAGAUGUCCUUUGGGUCCCACGGCAAAAAAUCAUUGUGCCUUAACAACCAGUGUCCUCUGAAUCAUACUGAAAUCAGGAAAUAGGGUCCCUCGGCGAACAAGCUUUCUCAGGUUCCUCUAGCGAAUAGGUUAUUUCCGGGUCCUUGGCGACAAAGACCCUCGUAUUCCAGGUUCUAAACCGGCCAAGUGUCUUCUGGGUCCCGCGGCAAAAGAUCAUUGUGCCUCGACAACCAGUGUCCUCUGCAUCAUACUGUAAUCAGGAAAUAGGGUCCCUCGGCGAGCAAGCUUUCUCAGGUCGCUCUGGCGAAUAGGUUUUUUCCGGCUCCUUGGCGACAAAGGCCCUCGUAUUCCAGGUUCGAAACCGACCAGGUGUCUUCUGGGUCCCACGGCUAAAAUCAUUGUGCCUUGACAACCCUUGUCCUCUGCAUCAUACAGCAAUCAGGAAAUAGGGUCCCUGUGUGAACAAGCGUCCUCGGGUUCCCCUGGCAAAUGUUUAAUGUUUCAUUAAUUAUGUUUUAAGUUCUAAGCAACCUAUAUUUAACUAUGCAUUCUAUAUUUAAUAAAUUAUGCAGAAAUAUCGAUAUGUAUUUUACAUACUCUCUUUGAUAUUCUGUUAUGUUUUACAAUGACAUGCAUUUGUUAAUCAGUGAUAUUGGCAUUGCACUACAAAAAACUGAAGAAAAUAAAAACACACUGUGAACCACUUAAAGUAAUAAGUGGGCCAUAUAAAUAGGAAGCAACUUUGUAAAACCCCAAGUAGGACAGAAUACUUAAAUUAACAAUAUAUAACAAUGUAUUAGCAAAACCAAUUAAAAUAACAGUGCAAAUAGUUAUUACAAGGUUAAAUAAAUAACCUUCCUAAUAUGAUACAAUCCCAAGUUUAAAUAGUGAAUAAAGUAUAAAAAUCACAAAAAGAUAACAAUAAUAAUAAUAAUAAACCUCCACAGCCACAAUCAUAUAAUAUAUCUACACUUCGCUCACAAGUUAAUAGAUGUCAGCUUGUCUAAAUAGAACAGUUGGCAAAAGCAGUAAACCU